UACGGGGGGGGCAAGCGUUGUUCGGAAUUACUGGGCGUAAAGGGCUCGUAGGUGGCCAACUAAGUCGGACGUGAAAUCCCUCAGCUUAACUGGGGAACUGCGUCCGAUACUGGAUGGCUUGAGUUUGGGAGAGGGAUGCGGAAUUCCAGGUGUAGCGGUGAAAUGCGUAGAUAUCAGGAGGAACACCGAUGGCGAAGGCAGGUCUCUGGGCUGAAACUGACGCUCAUGCACGAAAGCGUGGGGAGCAAACAGG
rnacentral:rRNA from 1 species